rnacentral:lncRNA from 1 species
CGAAGCACAGGCUUGGGGCAACCCUGCCCUUGAAGAUGCUUCCUGCUUUUCAUUUCGUGAUGUGAGCUCAUCCCUCAUUCAGCCCUCCAGCUUCAUUUCCCUAACCUUGGGAUAAAGCUAUUUAAUCCUCUCUUUUUCCUCACAGCCAUCAUAAAGGGUGCAAGAUCAUUCCUAUUACCCCCUCAUGGCACAGGAGCGUCCCCGUUCCCCUUCAGGAUCUUCGCUGUCAAGGCCUCCUUCCUGGAGUGAAUCGCAGGCAGCCCUCAGGAGUGCACAGACCCCACUUCUGCAAGCAUGCGCUCCCACCCAGCACUGAAGGCUGCUCUACUCUGUGAUACACACAAGUCCCUUGGCCACUAAAAAGCCAGGGCUGACCUCCUCUGUGUACUUGUCCCAUUCUCCAUUGAAGAGAAUGGUCUACUCAGCCCCAUGUGUCCCUGAGAACAUGACCUGACAGUACAUGAAGGUUUAUUCCGAAUAACGACUUUUUUUUUUCUUGUUGCCCAGGCUGUAGUGCAGUGGCACGAUCUCAGCUCACUGCAACCUCUGCCUCCCAGGUUCAAGCGAUUCUCCUGCCUCAGCCUCCAGAGUAGCUGGGAAUACAGGCAUCUGCCACCACGCCCAGGGCAGAUAAACAUUGUGUCACUGCCCCGGUGCAGUGGAUGGAACCAGAAAGCCAGUGGCUGAGGAAGCAGGAGGAGCCAAAGUGGUGGAGGCAGCCUGCCUGCGGGUCCCAUUCCUGACUUUAAGAAAUGUUCUACUUGACAAGAGAUGACAGUGCCUUUAGGGAGGAGAAGGGACAUCUUUCCAAAGCAGCAAAUUCUUAUUGUGGAUGAAGUCAGUUCUUCAUUGGUCACAAGGACAACCCCAGAGAGUCACCCAUAGAGAAACCCUGUGCUUGGGGUUUGUCAAGGAAACGAGGAGACACGGUCUUAUUCUGUCACCCAGGCUGAAGUGCAAUGGUUUGAUCCUAGCUCACCGCAGCCUGAAACUUCUGGGCUCAAGUGAUCCUCCCAGCUCAGCCUCUCAAGUCUGGGAUUACAGGCAUGAGUCACUGUACCCAGGCUAA